AGAUGUGGGGCAGGGAGGAGCAGAUGUGGGGCAGGAAUGGGCAGACGUGGGGCAGGAAGGAGCAGACGUGGGGCAGGAAACAACAGAUGUGGGGCAGGAAGGGGCAGACGUGGGGCAGGAAGGGGCAGAUGUGGGGCAGGAAGGAUGUGAGGCUCCGUCCCGCUGUGGUUGCAGACCUGGCUGUGUCUGAUCGCGCUGGGCGCCUCGGCGCUGUCCUGCGGAGCCACGCGCUGCUGGGCCUUCGCCGCGCGCCCGGAGCUCUUCCUCCUCAACAACGUCGGCGUGGACGCGGCGGUGACGCGGUGAUGGUGGGAUGGCAGCUGGACAUGGGGCGGCACCGCCAGGAGCUGGCGUGGAACCGGGAUGGAAGCACAGCGGCGUUGGGAUGGAACCGGAAUGGCACCAAAAUGGCACCAAAAUGGGACCAGAAUGACACAGGGGUGGCACUGGGAUGGAACUGGGGUGGUAUUGGGAUGGCACCAGAAUGGCACCAAAAUGGGACCAGAAUAACACAGGGGUGGCACUGGGAUGGCACCAGAAUGGUGUUGGGAUGGAACUGGGAUGGAACUGGGAUGGCAUUGGGAUGGUAUUGGGAUGGCACAGGGGUGGCAUUGGGAUGGAACUGGGGUGGUAUUGGGAUGGCAUUGGGGUGGCACCACAAUGGCACUGGGACAAAACUGGGAUGGCAUUGGGGUGGCAUUGGGAUGGCACCAGAAUGGCAAUGGGAUGGAACUGGGGUGGCAUCAAAGUGGGGCCAGAAUAACACAAGGAUGGCAUUGGGGUGGCACCAUGAUGACAUUAGGAUGGCAUUGGGGUGGCACCAUGAUGACAUUAGGAUGGCAAUGGGGUGGCACCACAAUGACAUUAGGAUGGCAAUGGGGUGGCACCACAAUGGCUUUGGGAUGGAACUGGGAUGGCACAAAAAUGGCACCAAAAUGGGAUCAAAAUGGCGCCAGGGUAACACAGGGAUGGCAUUGGGAUGGCACCAUGAUGACAUUAGGAUGGCACUGGGGUGGCACCAUGAUGACAUUAGGAUGGCACUGGGGUGGCACCACAGUGGCACUGCGAUGGCACCAGGAUGGCACCAGAAAUACAGCAGGGUGGCACUGGGAGGACAUUGGGGUGGCAGCAUGAUGACAUUGGGGUGGCACUGCGGUGGCACCAGAAUAACAGCGGGGUGGCACUGCAACAAAAGCAGGAUGGCACUGGGCUGGCGUGUCCCCAAGUGUCCCCAACACGUCCUCAACAAUCUGCAAUGUGUCCCUGAUGGGUCCCCAAUGUCCCCAACGUGUCCUGAACAUGGCCCCAGUGUCCCCAUUGUGUCCCCAUUGUGUCCCCAUCGCAUUCUCAAUGUGUCCCCAACGUGUCCCCAUUGUGUCCCCAACAUAUCCUUAGUGUGUCCCCAGUGUGUCCUCUUGUGUGUCCCCAACGUGUCCCCAAUGUGUCCUUGCUGUGUCCCCAACACAUCCCCAGUGUGUCCCCAAUGGAUCCCCAACAUGUCCCCAUUGUGUCCCCUACGUGUCCCCUGUGUGCCUCAGUGUGUCCCCAACACGUCCCCAAUGUGUCCCCAACAUGUCCCCAGUGCAUCAUCAAUGUGUCCCCAUUGUGUCCCCAACAUAUCCUUAGUGUGUCCCCAACACAUCCCCAGCAUGUCCCCAACAUGUCCCCAUUGUGUCCCCAACACGUCCUCAAUGUGUUCCCAGUGUGUCCCCAUUGUGUCCUUGGUGUGUCCCCAACAUGUCCCUGAUGAGUCCCUGAUGGAUCCCCAGCAUGUCCCCAACAUGUCCCCUAUGUGUCCCCAAUGUGUUCCCAGUGUGCCCCCAUCAGGUCCUCUGUGUGUCCCCAACAUGUCCCCCAUGUGUCCCCAUGGUGUCCUUGGAGUGUCCCCAACACGUCCCCAGUGUGUCUCUGAUGGAUCCCCAGCAUGUCCCCAUUGUGUCCCCAACGUGUCCCCAGUGCAUCAUCAGUGUGUCCCCAACAUGUCCCCAAUGUGUCUGCAAUGUGUCCCUGGUGCGUCCCCAGCAUAUCCUCACUGUGUCCUCUGUGUGUCCCCAACAUGUCCCCCAUGUGUCCCUGUUGUGUCCCCAGUGUGUCCUCGAUGUGUCCCCAGUGCAUCAUCAGUGUGUCCCCAUUGUGUCCCCAACAUGUCCCCAAUGUGUCCCUGAUGGAUCCCCAGCAUGUCCCCAACAUGUCCCCGUUGUGUCCCCUACAUGUCCCCUGUUUGUCCUCAGUGUGUCCCUGGUGUGUCCCCAACACGUCCCCAGUGCAUCAUCAAUGUGUCCCCACUGUGUCCCCAACACAUCCCCCAUUUGUCCCCAUUGUGUCCUUGAUGUGUCCCCAACAUGUCCCCAAUGUGUCCCUGAUGGAUCCCGAACAUGUCCCCACUGUGUCCCCUACAUGUCCCCCAUGUGUCCCCAUUGUGUCCCUGAUGGAUCCCCAGCACGUUCCCAUUGUGCCCCCUAUGUGUCCCCUGUGUGUCCUCGAUGUGUCCCCAACACGUCCCCAGAGCAUCAUCAGUGUGUCCCCAUUGUGUCCCCAACAUGUCCCCCAUGUGUUCCUGAUGUGUCCCCAAUGUGUCCUCUGUGUGUCCCCAACACAUCCCCACUGUGUCCCUGAUGGAUCCCCAUUGUGUCCCCAACAUGUCCCCAAUGUGUCCCCAGUGCAUCAUCAGUGUGUCCCCAUUGUGUCCCCAACAUGUCCUGCAUGUGUUCCCCCAUGUGUCCCCACUGUGUCCCCAACAUGUCCCCAAUGUGUCCCCAGUGCAUCAUCAGUGUGUCCCCAGCGUGUUCCUGAUGAGUCCCCAAUGUGUCCCUGUUGUGUCCCCAGCGUGUCCUCGAUGUGUCCCCAACGUGUCCCCAGCACAUCCUGAACAUAUCCCCAAUGUGUCCCUGCUGUGUCCCCAACCUGUCCCACAUGUGUUACUGAUGGGUCCCCAACCUGUCCCCAAUGUGUCCCCAUUGUGUCCUCAACGUGUCCCCAACCUGUCCUCAGUGUGUCCCUGUUUGGUCCCCAACAUGUCCCACAUGUGUUACAGAUGUGUCCCCAAUGUGUCCCCACUGCGUCCCCAUUGUUUCCUCAGCAUGUCCCCAAUUAUCAUCAUGUCCCCAUUGUGUCCCCACUGUGUCCUCAAUAUGUCCCCAAUUAUCAUCAACCUGUCCCCACUGU
ensembl:lncRNA